CAGCUGUGUGGUGCCAGCUGGCAGGGCAGAGCCCCUGCAAUGACUGGAGUGCCUGGUGUCAGGGUACUGGUCUUAUGUCAGCUCUGGGGUUUGUGUGACGUAGCAUCCUCCCUAGUUGUGAUGGACUGAAACGUUGGUAAUGUCUUAAACAUUGUCAAAAUCACAGAAAGACUUUUUGUCAAACUACAAGGAAGCCACUGCCUGUCUGGGACCACCGAAGCCUGACUGGAAUUUGGACUGUGACUGGGGACUUGAGAUAAGACUAUUGUCUAAUCAUCUCACGUCUGAGGAGAAGUAAACAAGGCUCAGGAAAGAAGAAUGUAUCUGUGUUAAGAAUCAGCCCCAGCUGGGCUCAGGGGGUGGUGGAGGAGAAAGGUUUUGGGUUUGUGAUGGUGAAAUCUUCCACACCAAAUUGAAGGAGUAACACCCUGGCCCCCGAGAACACCACGUACACACAGGACAUUUGUGUGAGAGGCAGCUGAGAAGGGUCAUAAACCACCAAAGACCCCCAAAGCGCCCCCAGACUCAUUCCUGAGGUCUUCCACUACCAGAGCACUGCAUGUGAUCCAACUGAUCCAACAAAUCCAGAGUCUGUUACAAGAGACUGGAAAGCUUCCCCCCUCUGCUCCAUGGGAGGUGCCCGGGCAUCUCCUGAAUGCAUAUUAAUCCAUUGGAUUCUGUGUUUUUUAGGAAACCCUCACCACCAAGGAGACCAGAAGAACCUGACCGAAGGGAUGCAGCCAGUGGUUACCCCAAUUGUUAUUUCAGUAUAAAUACCAAUAUUUGUUGGGCUUCGUAGAGGAAGGGUAAUGGAAGAAUUAAGGUAUAAUUUCCACAAAAUAUACUCCUUUG